UUCAGCUCUUUAGGAGGUGACUACAGCUUUCCUACAGUAUGAUCUCUUUCAACAUUGGCUGUGUCCCUGCCUUCUACCACUUCCAACUCAUGGAGAAGAUAAAGAAAAAGAAAUAAAAUACUUUUCAUUUCUUUGCUGUUGCUAUGGAGAAAAGAUGAGAAAGAUAAGAAGAAAAACUGCUGACCAUGGUUACCACUGGAAUAAGAUGUUGGAAGAAGUGGGAAAAGGCUGGCUUCAAUUUCUAGAUGUAAUUUACUUUAAGAGAGAUUAUCCAGGUAGUCCUGACCUAAUUGCGGGAGCCCUGUAAGCACAGAGUUUUCUUUGGCUGGAAGAAGAAGGAGGAGAAGACGGAGGGGAGGUAAACAGAAGAACAAGGGAAGAAGAAAUCAGAGAUUCAAAGAACACGAAGGAUUGAAUGUGCCAUUGCUGGUGUGAAGAUGGAGGGGACUACACGGAAUGAGUUCCUGGCUGCAGAAGUCUUUAUCUUGACACCCAGAUCGAGCAGAAUACAAAGGUCGCAAUGCCAAUUUCAUCUGAAACUUGUUUUGCAGUGUCAGAGUCUUGGUUUUUAGGAAAAGACUUGUGGUUGCUAUGGAACUGUUAAUAAUGAUUGCUGCCUGUACCUCAAUCUCUCAGACUCCCAAUCUCCGAUAUAAAAUCAUUUAGACCUGGGCUGUAGGGCAGUAAACAAACUUUCAAGCAAGAAUUAACUGGGCUUGGGCAUUCGUGUCUUAAUGUAGGAAAUGCCUUUCAUUAUAACCUUUACUUACACUAGGAGCUUGGCUACGUGGAAGGAGCCUCUAGUCUCCCGACAGUGGACUGAAACGCAUGAGCAGUGCUAAAAACAGAAACAUUUUGGGCUUUCAUCAUACAAUAAAUGUGAAAAACCUUUAUUUUGUGCAGAAGUGGCCUUAGCGUGGAGCUUUUAUUUUCAUGCAUAAAAAGAAAUUCAGCCAUAUACUAGAUUCCUAAGUGGAAAGAGGAAAAUAUUCCUGUUGAAAUAUAUGUCUGUAUAUUUUAAAAAUAAAAUCUUGCAGUAAAGUGACAUCUUUGCUAUAUUUCUGUGAGAUUUGUGAUCCAUGUAAUAGACGCUUCCUACUCCUGAAUUAUAUUUCUGAGUAAGGAUCUCAGUGCUUAUUAAUGUAUAACCAAUCUUUGGGGGAAAACUAAUCCGGCUCUUGAGCUCCAGGCACAUAAAGUUAGGAACAGGUUAUUGGGUGGGUAGAAAGAAGACAUAUCUAAUUUGGGGACUUUUCAGCCUCACCAGUAUGCAAAUAAUUCAACAAUAAUACAGAAUAAAUAGCUUCCAUUUCCACAACUGCUGCUCUCUCUAAUCCCUACAGUAUGUGUUUUCCAACAAUCAUCUGGCCUAAUUCGCUGUUUUAUUGCUGAGAAUUUUAAUGCUUCGA